rnacentral:rRNA from 1 species
AUUAAACGCUGGCGGCAUGCCUUACACAUGCAAGUCGAACGGCAGCACGGGGGGCAACCCUGGUGGCGAGUGGCGGACGGGUGAGUAAAGCAUCGGAACGUAUCCUGGAGUGGGGGAUAACGUAGCGAAAGUUACGCUAAUACCGCAUAUUCUGUGAGCAGGAAAGCAGGGGAUCGCAAGACCUUGCGCUCUGGGAGCGGCCGAUGUCGGAUUAGCUAGUUGGUGGGGUAAAGGCCUACCAAGGCGACGAUCCGUAGCGGGUCUGAGAGGAUGAUCCGCCACACUGGGACUGAGACACGGCCCAGACUCCUACGGGAGGCAGCAGUGGGGAAUUUUGGACAAUGGGCGGAAGCCUGAUCCAGCCAUGCCGCGUGAGUGAAGAAGGCCU